rnacentral:rRNA from 1 species
GGUUAAGCGACUAAGCGUACACGGUGGAUGCCCUGGCAGUCAGAGGCGAUGAAGGACGUGCUAAUCUGCGAUAAGCGUCGGUGAGGUGAUAUGAACCGUUAUAACCGGCGAUUUCCGAAUGGGGAAACCCAGUGUGAUUCGUCACACUAUCAUUAACUGAAUCCAUAGGUUAAUGAGGCGAACCGGGGGAACUGAAACAUCUAAGUACCCCGAGGAAAAGAAAUCAACCGAGAUUCCCCCAGUAGCGGCGAGCGAACGGGGAGCAGCCCAGAGCCUGAAUCAGUGUGUGUGUUAGUGGAAGCGUCUGGAAAGGCGCGCGAUACAGGGUGACAGCCCCGUACACAAAAAUGCACAUGCUGUGAGCUCGAUGAGUAGGGCGGGACACGUGGUAUCCUGUCUGAAUAUGGGGGGACCAUCCUCCAAGGCUAAAUACUCCUGACUGACCGAUAGUGAACCAGUACCGUGAGGGAAAGGCGAAAAGAACCCCGGCGAGGGGAGUGAAAAAGAACCUGAAACCGUGUACGUACAAGCAGUGGGAGCCUCUUAAUGGGGUGACUGCGUACCUUUUGUAUAAUGGGUCAGCGACUUAUAUUCUGUAGCAAGGUUAACCGAAUAGGGGAGCCGAAGGGAAACCGAGUCUUAACUGGGCGUUAAGUUGCAGGGUAUAGACCCGAAACCCGGUGAUCUAGCCAUGGGCAGGUUGAAGGUUGGGUAACACUAACUGGAGGACCGAACCGACUAAUGUUGAAAAAUUAGCGGAUGACUUGUGGCUGGGGGUGAAAGGCCAAUCAAACCGGGAGAUAGCUGGUUCUCCCCGAAAGCUAUUUAGGUAGCGCCUCGUGAAUUCAUCUCCGGGGGUAGAGCACUGUUUCGGCAAGGGGGUCAUCCCGACUUACCAACCCGAUGCAAACUGCGAAUACCGGAGAAUGUUAUCACGGGAGACACACGGCGGGUGCUAACGUCCGUCGUGAAGAGGGAAACAACCCAGACCGCCAGCUAAGGUCCCAAAGUCAUGGUUAAGUGGGAAACGAUGUGGGAAGGCCCAGACAGCCAGGAUGUUGGCUUAGAAGCAGCCAUCAUUUAAAGAAAGCGUAAUAGCUCACUGGUCGAGUCGGCCUGCGCGGAAGAUGUAACGGGGCUAAACCAUGCACCGAAGCUGCGGCAGCGACACUAUGUGUUGUUGGGUAGGGGAGCGUUCUGUAAGCCUGCGAAGGUGUGCUGUGAGGCAUGCUGGAGGUAUCAGAAGUGCGAAUGCUGACAUAAGUAACGAUAAAGCGGGUGAAAAGCCCGCUCGCCGGAAGACCAAGGGUUCCUGUCCAACGUUAAUCGGGGCAGGGUGAGUCGACCCCUAAGGCGAGGCCGAAAGGCGUAGUCGAUGGGAAACAGGUUAAUAUUCCUGUACUUGGUGUUACUGCGAAGGGGGGACGGAGAAGGCUAUGUUGGCCGGGCGACGGUUGUCCCGGUUUAAGCGUGUAGGCUGGUUUUCCAGGCAAAUCCGGAAAAUCAAGGCUGAGGCGUGAUGACGAGGCACUACGGUGCUGAAGCGACAAAUGCCCUGCUUCCAGGAAAAGCCUCUAAGCAUCAGGUAACAUCAAAUCGUACCCCAAACCGACACAGGUGGUCAGGUAGAGAAUACCAAGGCGCUUGAGAGAACUCGGGUGAAGGAACUAGGCAAAAUGGUGCCGUAACUUCGGGAGAAGGCACGCUGAUAUGUAGGUGAAGUCCCUCGCGGAUGGAGCUGAAAUCAGUCGAAGAUACCAGCUGGCUGCAACUGUUUAUUAAAAACACAGCACUGUGCAAACACGAAAGUGGACGUAUACGGUGUGACGCCUGCCCGGUGCCGGAAGGUUAAUUGAUGGGGUCAGCGCAAGCGAAGCUCUUGAUCGAAGCCCCGGUAAACGGCGGCCGUAACUAUAACGGUCCUAAGGUAGCGAAAUUCCUUGUCGGGUAAGUUCCGACCUGCACGAAUGGCGUAAUGAUGGCCAGGCUGUCUCCACCCGAGACUCAGUGAAAUUGAACUCGCUGUGAAGAUGCAGUGUACCCGCGGCAAGACGGAAAGACCCCGUGAACCUUUACUAUAGCUUGACACUGAACAUUGAGCCUUGAUGUGUAGGAUAGGUGGGAGGCUUUGAAGUGUGGACGCCAGUCUGCAUGGAGCCGACCUUGAAAUACCACCCUUUAAUGUUUGAUGUUCUAACGUUGACCCGUGAUCCGGGUUGCGGACAGUGUCUGGUGGGUAGUUUGACUGGGGCGGUCUCCUCCUAAAGAGUAACGGAGGAGCACGAAGGUUGGCUAAUCCUGGUCGGACAUCAGGAGGUUAGUGCAAUGGCAUAAGCCAGCUUGACUGCGAGCGUGACGGCGCGAGCAGGUGCGAAAGCAGGUCAUAGUGAUCCGGUGGUUCUGAAUGGAAGGGCCAUCGCUCAACGGAUAAAAGGUACUCCGGGGAUAACAGGCUGAUACCGCCCAAGAGUUCAUAUCGACGGCGGUGUUUGGCACCUCGAUGUCGGCUCAUCACAUCCUGGGGCUGAAGUAGGUCCCAAGGGUAUGGCUGUUCGCCAUUUAAAGUGGUACGCGAGCUGGGUUUAGAACGUCGUGAGACAGUUCGGUCCCUAUCUGCCGUGGGCGCUGGAGAACUGAGGGGGGCUGCUCCUAGUACGAGAGGACCGGAGUGGACGCAUCACUGGUGUUCGGGUUGUCAUGCCAAUGGCACUGCCCGGUAGCUAAAUGCGGAAGAGAUAAGUGCUGAAAGCAUCUAAGCACGAAACUUGCCCCGAGAUGAGUUCUCCCUGACCCUUUAAGGGUCCUGAAGGAACGUUGAAGACGACGACGUUGAUAGGCCGGGUGUGUAAGCGCAGCGAUGCGUUGAGCUAACCGGUACUAAUGAACCGUGAGGCUUAACCUU